GGCCGGUUCCCGUUAGAUCACCGAAGUUAAGCAUCAUUGGGCGCGGUCAGUACUUGGGUGGGUGACCACCUGGGAACACUGCAUGCCGU